rnacentral:rRNA from 1 species
UACGAAGGGUGCAAACGUUGCUCGGAAUUAUUGGGCGUAAAGCGCACGUAGGCGGCUUUGUAAGUCGGAUGUGAAAUCCCUCGGCUUAACCAAGGAAGUGCAUCCGAAACUACAGAGCUUGAGUACUUAAGAGGAUCGCGGAAUUCCCGGUGUAGAGGUGAAAUUCGUAGAUAUCGGGAGGAACACCAGUGGCGAAGGCGGCGACCUGGGAAGAUACUGACGCUGAGGUGCGAAAGCGUGGGGAGCAAACAGG